rnacentral:tRNA from 1 species
ACGGUUGCGGCAUGCGGCACGCCAGAACUUCAGCUUCCCAAGCUGAUAGCGCGGGUUCGAUUCCCGUCAUCCGCU